AAGUCGUAACAAGGUUUCCGUAGGUGAACCUGCGGAAGGAUCAUUAAAGAGUUAGGGUCUCUCUAGGCCCGACCUCCCAACCCUUUGUUUACCUUGCUGCAUGUUGCUUUGGCGGACCCGUCUCACGACCGCCCUGGGACCGCCGAGAGGUGCCCCCGGGCCCGUGUCCGCCGAUAGCCAACCUAAACUCUUGAAUGAAUCGUGUUUUAUGUCUGAGUCUAUUGAUUAAAUCAAAAGCAAAAACUUUCAACAACGGAUCUCUUGGUUCUG
rnacentral:misc_RNA from 1 species